CUGCUAUCGAGGUUCGAAUAAGCCAUGCGAGUCGAAUGUAGCAAUACAUGGCGUACUGCUCAGUAACACGUGGACAACCUGCCCUUAGGUCGGGUAUAAACCCGGGAAACUGGGUAUAAUCCCCUAUAAGUCUCGGCUGCUGGAAUGCACCGAGAUUAAAAGCUCCGGCGCCUAAGGAUGGGUCUGCGGCCUAUCAGGUAGUAGUGGGUGUAGCGUACCUACUAGCCUACGACGGGUACGGGUUGUGAGAGCAAGAGCCCGGAGAUGGAUUCUGAGACACGAAUCCAGGCCCUACGGGGUGCAGCAGGCGCGAAAACUUUACAAUGCUGGCAACAGCGAUAAGGGAACCUCGAGUGCCAGGUUACAAAUCUGGCU
rnacentral:rRNA from 1 species